AGCCAUGCAUGUCUAGUACAUGCGAAACAAGGCGAAACCGCGAAUGGCUCAUUAAAUCAGUUAUGGUUCCUUAGAUCGUUUCUUCCUACUUGGAUAACUGUGGCAAUUCUAGAGCUAAUACAUGCAGUGAGCCCGAAGCCCCUCGGGGCGACGGGUGCUUUUAUUAGACCAAGAUCAAUCGGGCUUCGGUCCGUUUUGUGUGGUGACUCUGGAUAACUUUGUGCUGAUCGCACGGCCACGAGCCGGCGACGUUUCUUUCAAGUGUCUGCCUUAUCAACUGUCGAUGGUAGGUUAUGCGCCUACCAUGGUUGUUACGGGUAACGGAGAAUCAGGGUUCGAUUCCGGAGAGGGAGCCUGAGAAACGGCUACCACAUCCAAGGAAGGCAGCAGGCGCGCAAAUUACCCACUCCCGGCACGGGGAGGUAGUGACGAAAAAUAACAAUACGGGACUCUUUUGAGGCCCCGUAAUUGAAAUGAGUACACUCUAAAUCCUUUAACGAGGAUCCAUUGGAGGGCAAGUCUGGUGCCAGCAGCCGCGGUAAUUCCAGCUCCAAUAGCGUAUACUAAAGUUGCUGCGGUUAAAAAGCUCGUAGUUGGAUCUCAGUUACAGGCGGGAAGUGCGUGGACACCACGUUACGGCCCGUGCUGAACAUCAUGCCUGUCGUGGCUUGGUUCCCUUCAUCAGGUGCCUUGCUUUGGCCGGCGCGUUUACUUUGAAAAAAUUAGAGUGCUCAACGCAGGCGAUUCGCCUGAAUAACAGUGCAUGGAAUAAUAGAACAAGAUCCUGUUUCUGUUCUGUUGGUUUUUGGAAUACAGGAUAAUGAUUAAGAGGGACAGACGGGGGCAUUCGUAUUGCGGCGCUAGAGGUGAAAUUCUUGGACCGUCGCAAGACGAACUACUGCGAAAGCAUUUGCCAAGAAUGUUUUCAUUGAUCAAGAACGAAAGUUAGAGGUUCGAAGGCGAUCAGAUACCGCCCUAGUUCUAACCAUAAACGAUGCCAACCAGCGAUCCGCCUGAGUUACUCAAAUGACUCGGCGGGCA
rnacentral:ncRNA from 1 species